GAGACUAUGUGAAUGGAAUCAGAAGCAGAGGAUGGGGAGGAUGCCUGCACUGUGCAGCGGAAUGUGGGAGAGCACACGAUUGCCGUGGAAACCAGCUAUAGUAAAUGGAGCUCUUCAGCUGCAGGGGAGGAUUUAUACCACCAGGCUGGGAGCAGGCAAUUUAAAUCAGCCAUCCGCAGCCUUCCAGCAAAGCAUCAAAGAGCCCCCGAGAACAGCAAGAUUCCAGCCUCCUCCUUCAGGAGAAGUUUGAUGCUGAAAACCCCGGCGGUCCAACCAAAAUACAAAGCCAGGAUCUGGGUCCUCCCGUCCCACAUUUGUCGCUGCUGUGUCUUUGUGAGAGUGUUGCCCACGCAGCAGACGCUGCCCAACGAGAGCUCCUGUUUCCCUUUGCAGUUUUCUCUCUCCAGUGCUGUCCCCGUUGUACAACCGCUGCCAUGCAGCAGAGCUGAUCUGCAGUCCUGGCCACAUGGGCUGCUAAUCACAUCGCGUGAUCGAUACCACGAGUGGCACGUCAACCACAACGCUGAGAUUUGCCAGCCUGGGAAAAAUAUCAAACAUCAAGAGAUAGAACUCAUCGAUACGUCAAAUAGAAAGAGUGACUUUACAGGUGACAGAGCCAGAUUGCCUAAUUGGAGUCCUGACGUGAAGCAAAUGCUCUCACUCAAUGUAUGCUGCCUCAGACCAAGAACUUGUGCCUGAACUGCAGCAUAUUUAAACACCACUGUCCUGGAUACCAGCUAAUGGAGAAUGUGCUAGAUUCCUAAUAAGGUGGUUGUUUUAUUGUUUAAUUACCUCCAUUUCAGCAUCACACCUUAUUGCUAGUCUGAAAUGGCUUGACUGCAAACCCUGGCUGCGUCAAUCUCCACGAGAUUUAGAAGCCUUCCUUCUGUUGCCAGAAAUUUCAUUGUCUACAAAGUUGAUUGUCACCUAUGAUUAAGCCACACCUUAAAAUUUUCUUAAGCAGUUAAAUCAAUUAACUCGCUUCGUUUUGCAUCGCUCCCGUAGCUGAUAGUUGCAUUCCCAGUACUGAGAGCCUUCCCACUGCUCCUUCAUUUUAGCACACGCGUUCUCAUCUUCCUUCAGCUGAGCUGUCCAUGUGGUGAUGUUUGGCUGUGUGCAACACCCGCUCCAAAGCAUCCCUCUCUGCAGAGCAAACCCUCCCAUCUCUCCCAUUGGUUCUUACUGUUAUUCGAAAUUUCUCCAGAUAAUUGAUGGAUAACUUUGCACAGAGCAUAAAUCUUUUAGGACGCACCAGAAAUUCCUCCGCUGGAUAAUUACUUUUGGAUGCACGCUACCCAGUGUUCCAUCCAUUUAAUAUAAGCUACGCUGAUUUUGUUAAGUACUAUUUUUAACAGAAUGUCAUGCGAGAUUAAGUCAACCGCUUUGCAGAAGUCUAUGUUUAUUAUUUCAGCCAAAUUACCUUUCUGAACUGAAUUCAUAAUCUCUUCAGAAGAACGAGUGCUCAUUUGAUGAGCAGCUCUCUGGAGCGAUGGACUGAAGUUCCUUGGCCCUUCUCAUUGGGUCCAGUGUGAGCAGAUUAGUGUCAGGCUAACGGGUUUAG
ensembl:lncRNA